rnacentral:rRNA from 1 species
AUUGAACGCUGGCGGCAGGCCUAACACAUGCAAGUCGAGCGGAUGAAGGGAGCUUGCUCCUGGAUUCAGCGGCGGACGGGUGAGUAAUGCCUAGGAAUCUGCCUGGUAGUGGGGGAUAACGUCCGGAAACGGGCGCUAAUACCGCAUACGUCCUGAGGGAGAAAGUGGGGAUCUUCGGACCUCACGCUAUCAGAUGAGCCUAGGUCGGAUUAGCAAGUUGGUGGGUAAAGGCCUACCAAGGCGACGAUCCGUAACUGGUCUGAGAGGAUGAUCAGUCACACUGGAACUGAGACACGGUCCAGACUCCUACGGGAGGCAGCAGUGGGGAAUAUUGGACAAAGGGCGAAAGCCUGAUCCAGCCAUGCCGCGUGUGUGAAGAAGGUCUUCGGAUUGUAAAGCACUUUAAGUUGGGAGGAAGGGCAGUAAGUUAAUACCUUGCUGUUUUGACGUUACCAACAGAAUAAGCACCGGCUAACUUCGUG